AGUUUUUGCUUAGUGGUAGAGCACUUGUCUGGUGUGCAAGAGGCUCUGGGUUCAAUCUCUGAUACU
rnacentral:tRNA from 1 species